UACGUAGGGUGCAAGCGUUGUCCGGAAUUAUUGGGCGUAAAGGGCUCGUAGGCGGUCCAUCGCGUCGGGAGUGAAAAGCUGGGGCUUAACCCCCAGUCCUGCUUCCGAUACGGGUGGACUAGAGGUAGGUAGGGGAGAACGGAAUUCCUGGUGUAGCGGUGAAAUGCGCAGAUAUCAGGAAGAACACCCGGUGGCGAAGGCGGUCUCUCGGCGGUACC
rnacentral:rRNA from 1 species